ACGUGUUUCUGCGCAUGAGCUUAACUAGCAAAAGUCGCCAUGAAAUCGCCUACAAGUGUGAUCGGGGAUUUCUAUUGGAGAAGCAGUUUUAGCCUAUCUUCAUACUGUACUGUCUUUGCCGUAUUAUCAGGUUAUAUGUUCAGAACACACCAAGACGGAAACAUUGGCAGAGACAACAAACAGAUCGUUAAUAAUUGACAGACCGACGUCAACAUGAAGAGUUUUAUCCUUAUCUUCCUGGGAAUAGUGGAAGUUCAUGAAACAUUUGCUGUGACUCACUCCCUGAAGUAUUUCUACACUGCGUCUUCUAAAGUUACCAACUUCCCAGAGUUUGUGGUUGUGGGGAUGGUGGAUGGUGUUCAGAUGGUUCUCUAUGACAGCAACAUCCAGAAAGUAGUGCCCGAACAGGUCUGGAUGAACAAGGCAGACGCAGAGUACUGGGAGAGGGAGAGAGAGAAAUUCUUGCAUUCCCAGCAUGAUUUCAAAGCUGACGUCGAUAUUCUAAAGCAGAGUUUUAACCAACGUGGAGGAGUCCACGUUCUCCAGUACAUAUAUGGCUGCUCAUGGGAUGAUGAGACUGAACAGAGAGAUGGGUUUUGGGCAGCUGGGUUAUAAUGGGGAGGAUUUCCUAGUGUACGACAUGAAUACAUUAACUUGGAAAGCUCUUAAACAGCAAGCUGAUGUCAUGCGGGAUAAGUGGAACCGUGACAUCAGUAGACUGGUAUUCUGGAAGACCUACUUCUCCCAGACCUGCAUUGAGUGCCUGAAGAAGCAGGUGGUCAAUGGGAAGAGCACUCUGAGGACAGCCCCUCCAUCAGUGUCUUUGCUCCAGAAGACCCCCUCUUCUCCAGUGACCUGCCACGCUACAGGUUUCUAUCCCAGUGGAGUCAUGGUGUUCUGGCAGAAAGAUGGACAAGAACAGCAUGAAGAUGUGGAGCAUGGAGAGAUUCUCCACAACGAUGAUGGAACCUUCCAGAAAAGCACCCACCUCAGAGUGACGCCUGAGGAGUGGAAGAACAACAAGUAUCAGUGUGUUGUUCAGGUCACUGGUAUCAAGGAUGACUUCAUCAAGGUUCUGACUGAGUCUGAGAUCCAGACCAACAGGGAUGACCCAGCCCCCAUCAUUGGAGGGGUGGUAGCUCUCCUCCUGGUCAUUGUUGAUGUUGUUGGGGUCGUCAUUUGGAAGAAGAAGAGUAAGAAAGGCUUUGUUCCAGCCAGCACUUCUGACACUGACUCUGAGAACUCUUGGAAAGGUUUCCAGAAGACUUGAGACCUCUCUGCACUUCUGUAACAUCAGAGAAGGAGCUGAAGAGGACAGCAACGUAAUGGAAAUGACAAACGUUGAACUUCCCAAGAACGUAACACAUACCUAUGCUUACACACACAUCAGUCUCACACAGACCUUUCUCACACACAUAUCAGUCUCUCACACACAAGUUUACACACACUGUAAACAUAGAAUCCAUAUAUAAAAAAGAUCUGCUGUCAGAAAUGUUCUUUGGUGAUUUCCUUGAAACAGUUUUACUUUAAUUUAAUCCAUGGUUUGGCUUUUUAAAAUUUAAUUUUGUUGAAUUCUAAAAUGUAAUAUUGCCAUAGUUUGGCUUUUUAAAAGUUGUGCUGUAAUUUUGUUGAAUUAUAUAAUGUAAUAUUGCCACUGUGUGAUAGAUGUAUCUCAAGUCAUAUAGGUAUAUUAGAACCAAUGGAACACCAUGAAAGUGUGUUUCUGGAAAGAAUUAGAUUGUUGCGAGAUGUUAAAUUAAGAUUUUAAUUUAUAUUAUUCUACAAAAAGAACAUACAUUUGCCUGAUUUUCCCCUAAGUGAAGCCACCAAAACAAUCACAUUUAAAAGAUAUUGCUGUAAACUGAAUAAUUGUUUUGUUUGAAUGUGUAGUGUAGGUUUUGGUGGUAUAAGAUACAGUAAUUGUGUGACGUUAUAACUUUGCUCACACUAACUUGUUUAAUUGUAUGGCUAUAAGCCAGACAAGGCCUGUCCACAUGUUCCAUUUGUACAUUUUUCUCUUACCGACAGUGGCGUUAUUUUUCUAGCUGUUUUGAUUUUAUGAUACGUUUUGAUUUAUGAUGGGGCAAGGGAACAUGUAUUUUAUUGCAAGUGUAAAUGUGAUCCAUUUAUGAAAUACAUAAUCAACCAGCCAAACAAGACAUAUUAGAAACUAAAUUCAUGCAUUUUGUAAUAAUGUUUUGACACCUUUCAAUAAAGUCAAAAAAAUGUA